GACGAACGCUGGCGGCGUGCCUAAUACAUGCAAGUAGAACGCUGAAGCGAGGAGCUUGCUCUUCUUGGAUGAGUUGCGAACGGGUGAGUAACGCGUAGGUAACCUGCCUGGUAGCGGGGGAUAACUAUUGGAAACGAUAGCUAAUACCGCAUAAAAUGGAUUAUUGCAUGAUAAUCCAUUGAAAGGUGCAAAUGCAUCACUACCAGAUGGACCUGCGUUGUAUUAGCUAGUUGGUGGGGUAACGGCUCACCAAGGCGACGAUACAUAGCCGACCUGAGAGGGUGAUCGGCCACACUGGGACUGAGACACGGCCCAGGCUCCUACGGGAGGCAGCAGUAGGGAAUCUUCGGCAAUGGACGGAAGUCUGACCGAGCAACGCCGCGUGAGUGAAGAAGGUUUUCGGAUCGUAAAGCUCUGUUGUAAGAGAAGAACGAGUGUGAGAGUGGAAAGUUCACACUGUGACGGUAUCUUACCAGAAAGAGACGGCUAACUACGUG
rnacentral:rRNA from 1 species